GCCCGCUUGGCUAAGUGGUAUAGCGUGUCACUAGUACUUCCCUGGGUGUCAUGACAAGAUCAGCGGUUCGAUUCCGCUAGUGGGCA
rnacentral:tRNA from 1 species